AAUGAUGGAAAAAUCAUUCUGACGGUACCUUAUGAAUUAGCCCCAGCUAACUAUGUGCCAGCAGCCGCGGUAAUACAUAGGGGGCAAGCGUUAUCCGGGAAUAUUGGGCGUAAAGGGUGCGUAGGCGGUUAAAUAAGUUUAUGGUCUAAGUGCAAUGCUCAACAUUGUGAUGCUAUAAAAACUGUUUAGCUAGAGUAAGAUAGAGGCAAGUGGAAUUCCAUGUGUAGUGGUAAAAUGCGUAAAUAUAUGGAGGAACACCAGUAGCGAAGGCGGCUUGCUGGGUCUUUACUGACGCUGAGGCACGAAAGCGUGGGGAGCAAACAGGAUUAGAUACCCUGGUAGUCCACGCCGUAAACGAUGAGUACUAAACGUUGGGUAAAACCAGUGUUGAAGUUAACACAUUAAGUACUCCGCCUGAGUAGUACGUACGCAAGUAUGAAACUUAAAGGAAUUGACGGGACUCCGCACAAGCGGUGGAUCAUGUUGUUUAAUUCGAAGGUACCCGAAAAACCUCACCAGGUCUUGACAUGCUUCUGCAAAGCUGUAGAAACACAGUGGAGGUUAUCAGUUGCACAGGUGGUGCAUGGUUGUCGUCAGCUCGUGUCGUGAGAUGUUGGGUUAAGUCCCGCAACGAGCGCAACCCUUAUUGUUAGUUACCAGCACGUAAUGGUGGGGACUUUAGCAAGACUGCCAGUGAUAAAUUGGAGGAAGGUGGGGACGACGUCAAAUCAUCAUGCCCCUUAUGACCUGGGCUACAAACGUGAUACAAUGGCUGUUACAAAGGGUAGCUGAAGCGCAAGUUUUUGGCGAAUCUCAAAAAAACAGUCUCAGUUCGGAUUGAAGUCUGCAACUCGACUUCAUGAAGUUGGAAUCGCUAGUAAUCGCGAAUCAGCAUUCGCGACACAAGCGGCAGAGUUC
rnacentral:rRNA from 1 species